AACUCGUGCAAAACAGAAUGGCAUGGUGCCAAGGUUCAGAUUAGCAGCACCUGGGCAUACUGGUUACCUGGGGCAUGGGUUCUGUCAACCAGAAGGGAAUGCAAGGGCUCCCCACUGAGAGGGAGAAAGGAGACCCACUUUCAGUGGAGAACAGCAGCUGACGUGGAGGCUCCUAACAGCCCCUGGGGACUGGCUUCGGCACCGGAGACAAAAAACUGAGCAGAAGGCACGGAGGAAACCAUACAAAAGCAACCUAUUGCUGUGCUGUUUGGCUGCUCUUGGCUGUCGAUGACAAGUGGACUUGUGGUGUUAGGCAGCUCCCAGGGGGAGGAUCUGAAGCACUCUAUCUGUGACACCUCGCUUAAGGAGCUGUCUGGAGGUCUCAGCUUGGUACUGAGAAGUACACGAAUUUAGCAGAACAGAGGCAAAGGAAGAAGAAACUGACCAAGAGCUGGUGGCCGUGUGCUGGGAAGGAUGAUGAAAUAACAAAGUAUUCCCAUCAUGAUUUAUGACUGAAGAGAAAUGCUGUCCAGGUGAUGAUCCAGUCCAUUAUCUUGACGGAGGUGCUGACCACUGUAGGGAAACACAGAGAGCUGAUGUACAACACAAUGGAGAACAAGAAGAAAAAAGGGGGCUUCCAAGUUACAACUGAAAAAAAGCAUAAAUAUGAUUUGUAAUAAUUGGAUGCAAAUAAAAAAGACAAGCGGAAACAUUUAUGCUAUUGCUCCUCCCCCUCAAUGGGCUUUCAUGGAAAAAAAAAUAAAUAAAUCCUAGGAGACCAAGUGUAUUCAAUCUGCUGACACAGGACACGAGGGAAUGGCAUGGAGCUGCAUCAGGGGAUGGUCAGGUUGGAUGUUGGGAAAAGGUUCUGCCCUGUGGUGGGCAUGGCCCCAUGCUGCCGGAGCUCAGGGAGUAUUAGGACAUCACUCUUAGACAUAGGGUAUGGGCUUGGGUGGUCCUAUGUGGAGCUGAGGGUUGGGCUUGGUGAUCCUUGUGUUCCAUCCAACUCGGGAUAUUCUACAAUUCUGUAAAGAUUACUCAUGUUAAAUACAUGUUUCAGAGGGUGAAGCUCCCCUGUCCCAAUACCACCCUUGGUUGGUCUAGAAUGCUCUAUUUUUCCCUUCCAGUUUUGUGUUUUACUACUCAUAAAUCAAGAUUUCUUUGCCCUGCUCUGCAGCUCCUGCACCUUUGCAGAUCAUUAAUACCAAGACAGGGCUGUUAAUCUCUCAGUCCCAAGGUGCAUUACCCCACUUGUAGAAGGAGAGACUUGUAGAAGGGAAACAGUUGGGUCUGUGCCCAGAGCUACUGAGCAGAGGGAUGUACCCCAGGGCUACAUUCGCUCCCAGAACAGUUCCCAUGGGGUGCCUGAUGGUCCUCCACUGAUAGCAUCCAUCGUGUUUUGGGGUGGUUUUAAGGUGGACCAUGGGACCAUGGGCACAAGGUGUCUGUCUGCGGUGAGCUCUGUGCUCUACAGCAGUUUUGCUGCCUGUGAACUACGUCAGCAGCACAUUUGCAAACGCAUAUGUCCUUCGCUGAUCUUACUGAACCUUCAUUCCUGUUGCUUGUACUUCUUAUCCUAUUCAACUCCAGCAGUAUGUAAAAGAGGCUAGCUUUAUUUUUCAGCUUUCUUCCAAUCAGAGAAGGUCAGAGACAAAGCUUGGCAAUGAAAGGCAAUUUCUCCAAACUCAGUGGGCAAGCACAGUGUAGUAGGAAUGCUUUUAAACAACAACAACAAAAAAUCCAAUAACUUCCCUAUAAAUUGUCCAAGAGAGAAAACUUUGUGUUUUUGGCAUUUGUAGCUGUUUCAGCAUUUUUCUGUGUAAGAUGAAAAACUUUUGCAUUGAGCAAAACACAGAUUUAUGAUCAAUAAAGUGAAGUUUUAACAGUUUAUAGGAGCCAUACAUUCUUUUUUUUUUUUAAACUGAUAUUAAAAACUAUCUUUUUCUCUCAACCACAUUAGAAAUCCACCCCAGUGUCAGUCAGGGUUUCAGCACAGCAAACUUUGCAGACAAACUGCUGGAUGGGGUUUACUGCAGGACAAGUAACCACACAAUCCACCCCUCCCUCCCCCUAAUGGGCUUGUGAAAUAAAGCUCCAGUAAGACCUGGGUAUGGAAUUUAAGGUGUGAGCCUGGACUCACACAGUGUUCAGAGGUUUUGGAAGCAGGAGGCUGCUGCAGGUCCCUCUCUGGACCAUUCAGGCAAUAACUGUCCAACAAGGCUCUGCAGUUCCUAGCAUAGCAGGAGCUACAGGUUGAGAGCAAGCAGCUGCCAGAAAAACCUCUGAUUUGCUCAAGUGGCUUUGGAAUGGCCACUUUUAUUGGCACAGCCUUGUUUGGGCUGCGAGCAGUCAGGGAGUCCCUGGGCAACUUUAUCUCAUCUCAAUUCUGAUGUGCAGGGGCACUGUGCAGUCAAAUCUUGUAGUUCUGGUGUUCGCCACUUACCUUUGCCUCACGCCUGGUAGUUGUCUCUGAAGACACCGAUUUCUACACUGACAAAUGUGCCAGUGAUGCUAAACAUGCUCGAAACAGAAACAGCUCUUUGUUCCAAACAGGCCACUGCACUGAUAAGGAAAUCAUGUCAACAGAUCAUCUGAUAAAAGUUAUUUAGCCUUAGAUUUUCUACUAGCUUAGAUGUGAUUUGAGUAUGAAAUUAUUGAGUAUAGCACUGUUUUCGCUGCCAUUAAGAGAAAUGAUAAAUCUCUCUUGAUUAGAUUUAUUGUAAAGCCAGGGAGCUGAGGAGAGCUUGUAACUCUUCUUUUUGUAAUCCCAUGACCCUGGUUAUGCAGUCUUUCGGCUUUCUGCACAUUACAGCACAUGCAACUGCCUGAAUUGUUUUUAUCUCUUCAGCCUGUUGUUCUUUGUUAAGGCCUAGCUCAACGCAAGAUGUACAGUUAAAAAAUAGGAAAGUGUCCAUUACAAGGCAAGGAUUUGGCUUUUUCUCUCCAGAGCACAUGAUGAAGGCCAUAAAUUUGUCAAGGAGAUAAGUUGGACUCAACCCACCAAGAUCAGUGUAUCAGUGCCAGUCGGGUCCCCUUCAUCCCAUGAUGUGCCAAGAAAUUUAUUACCUGCUGUGAGAUUUAACUGCACAAAUCCCUGGUGAAUUGAUAGGAGAGGAGAACCUUGCUGAGGUUUAUAGGGAGGGUCUUAAACCCUUAAAUGCUGGUGGCAGUGGCAUCCCCAUAAAGCCCUGCCAAUGGUAAUUUACAGACGAGGAGAUCGACUGUGUUUCCUCUGUGGAAAAUGGGGUUGAAAUAGCUGGGGCUCUCAGAGCUGAGUCGCAGCAUGGAGAAGGUCCACAGGGUGCCGCAGCUUCUGCAGAGCAUGCAGCUUCCACUUGAUUAAAUAAACCUGGGUCUCAGAAGAUCUGAAAAGCGGUUUUCAGAGAGUUCUGUCUAAGAGCUUGCAAGUUUUUCCAUUUCUUUUGAAAAGAAAUUUGCACUCAGAAAAUGAAAGAAUCUACAAAGCGAUAUUUUCUGAAGCAAACACUGACAUUAUGAGCAACUUAAGCACUUUCAUUGCAGCUCUGUGCUAAACUGUGGUUCUCGACUGACAAAACCGUCUCUUGCUAAAAGCAACUGUUAUAAAAUUAUGACUAGCACAUAUAUAAUGUUUGUGUUUAACAAGAUGACAGAAAUGCCACCUUAGUAAAAACUGAUUAUGGUUACAGCUGAACAAUUCACAUCAUGCAAGAUUUAUAAUAUUAAGGUUAUGCAAUCAUCUAAUCGGAGAGACAAGCCUUGAGUAAUAAUAUGAAAUGCAUGUACUUCAAUCUGCAGCAGUAGAUUCAUUGCUGGUUUCUUAUUAGCUCAUGCUAGCAUUAGGGCUGCAUUAUCCAUUUUGCCAUAGUCUAAUUCAGCAUUUCCAUCUGAAAACAUAUGCACAAUAAGUGAUGUAUGCCAAACAAUGAAAUGGAAACAAAGUCAUUUGAGUGACUUUGUGGCUAUAAAAAUAUACAUAAUCUGUAUGUCUUUCGGCACUUCUCAAUACUUUGUACUACAUUUAUUUGCAUGGAAAGUUUUCCCAAAAUAAAUAAAAACAGAUA